CCUACGGGAGGCUGCAGUGAGGAAUAUUGGUCAAUGGGCGGAAGCCUGAACCAGCCAAGUAGCGUGCAGGAUGACGGCCCUACGGGUUGUAAACUGCUUUUGUCAGGGAGCAACGCCGGCUACGUGUAGCCGGACUGAGAGUACCUGAAGACAAAGCAUCGGCUAACUCCGUGCCAGCAGCCGCGGUAAUACGGAGGAUGCGAGCGUUCUCCGGCUUUAUUGGGUUAAAAGGGUGCGUAGGCGGAAUGCCAAGUCAGCGGGAAAAUCGCGGGGCUCAACCUCGCUCCGCCGUUGAAACUGGCGUUCUGGAGUGGGCGAGAAGUAGGCGGAAUGUGUGGUGUAGCGGUGAAAUGCAUAGAUAUGACGCAGAACUCCGAUUGCGAAGGCAGCAUACCGGCGCCCAACUGACGCUGAAGCACGAAAGCGUGGGUAUCGAACAGGAUUAGAUACCCGUGUAGUC
rnacentral:rRNA from 1 species